UACGAAGGGGGCUAGCGUUGUUCGGAUUUACUGGGCGUAAAGCGCACGUAGGCGGGUCGUUAAGUCAGGGGUGAAAUCCCAGAGCUCAACUCCGGAACUGCCUUUGAUACUGGCGACCUUAGGCUGGAAGAGGUUAGUGGAAUUCCCAGUGUAGAGGUGAAAUUCGUAGAUAUUGGGAAGAAUACCGAUGGCGUAGGCAGCUAACUGGCCAAAACUUGACACUGAGGCACGAAAGCGUGGGGAGCAAACAGG
rnacentral:rRNA from 1 species